rnacentral:misc_RNA from 1 species
GUAGGUGAACCUGCGGAAGGAUCAUUGACAAAUCUAUAAAAAAUAUGACAUUGGUUCUGGGUAAAACUGGAGCCUAAUGUAAUAUUAACCCGGAGCCGGUUUGGCUCGGGCAAUUUUCGGGGUCUGGGAAUUCGUUCCUUGACUUCUUGAAAGUUGUCAAAUUGAGCUACUGAGGUGAAAUAUAUUCAGUAGCACAUAAAAUCGAUUGUAUUUGUUUGACAGUGUAUUACUUGAUUUUCGGAUUAAGUACUAUUGAAAAAAUAUAUACAACUUUUAACAAUGGAUCUCUUGGCUCUU